CGCAACGAGCGCAACCCUUGUCAUUAGUUGCUACGCAAGAGCACUCUAAUGAGACUGCCGGUGACAAACCGGAGGAAGGUGGGGAUGACGUCAAGUCCUCAUGGCCCUUAUGGGUAGGGCUUCACACGUCAUACAAUGGUCGGGACAGAGGGUCGCCAACCCGCGAGGGGGAGCCAAUCUCAGAAACCCGAUCGUAGUCCGGAUCGCAGUCUGCAACUCGACUGCGUGAAGUCGGAAUCGCUAGUAAUCGCGGAUCAGAAUGUCGCGGUGAAUACGUUCCCGGGUCCUUGUACACACCGCCCGUCACACCAUGGGAGUGGGUUUCACCAGAAGUAGGUAGCCUAACCGUAAGGAGGGCGCUUACCACGGUGGGAUUCAUGACUGGGGUGAAGUCG
rnacentral:rRNA from 1 species